rnacentral:rRNA from 1 species
GAUGAACGCUGGCGGCGUGCCUAAUACAUGCAAGUCGAGCGAACGGACGAGAAGCUUGCUUCUCUGAUGUUAGCGGCGGACGGGUGAGUAACACGUGGAUAACCUACCUAUAAGACUGGGAUAACUUCGGGAAACCGGAGCUAAUACCGGAUAAUAUUUUGAACCGCAUGGUUCAAAAGUGAAAGACGGUCUUGCUGUCACUUAUAGAUGGAUCCGCGCUGCAUUAGCUAGUUGGUAAGGUAACGGCUUACCAAGGCAACGAUGCAUAGCCGACCUGAAAGGGUGAUCGGCCACACUGGAACUGAGACACGGUCCAGACUCCUACGGUAGGCAGCAGUAGGGAAUCUUCCGCAAUGGGCGAAAGCCUGACGGAGCAACGCCGCGUGAGUGAUGAAGGUCUUCGGAUCGUAAAACUCUGUGAUUAGGGACGAACAUAUGUGUAAGUAACUGUGCACAUCUUGACGGUACCUAAUCAGAAAGCCACGGCUAACUACGUG